rnacentral:rRNA from 1 species
GACGAACGCUGGCGGCGUGCUUAACACAUGCAAGUCGAACGGUAAGGCCCUUCGGGGUACACGAGUGGCGAACGGGUGAGUAACACGUGGGUGAUCUGCCCUGCACUUCGGGAUAAGCCUGGGAAACUGGGUCUAAUACCGGAUAGGACUCCGGACUGCAUGGUCUGGGGUGGAAAGCUUUUGCGGUGUGGGAUGGGCCCGCGGCCUAUCAGCUUGUUGGUGGGGUGAUGGCCUACCAAGGCGACGACGGGUAGCCGGCCUGAGAGGGUGACCGGCCACACUGGGACUGGGAUACGGCCCAGAGUCCUACGGGAGGCAGCAGUGGGGAAUAUUGCACAAUGGGCGCAAGCCUGAUGCAGCGACGCCGCGUGAGGGAGGACGGCCUUCGGGUUGUAAACCUCUUUCAGCAUCGACGAAGCGAAAGUGACGGUAGGUGCAGAAGAAGGACCGGCCAACUACGUGCCAGCCGCCGCCGUAA